AUUGAACGCUGGCGGCAGGCCUAACACAUGCAAGUCGAACGGUAACAGGAAGAAGCUUGCUUCUUUGCUGACGAGUGGCGGACGGGUGAGUAAUGUCUGGGAAACUGCCUGAUGGAGGGGGAUAACUACUGGAAACGGUAGCUAAUACCGCAUAAUGUCGCAAGACCAAAGAGGGGGACCUUCGGGCCUCUUGCCAUCGGCUGUGCCCAGAUGGGAUUAGCCAGUAGGUGGGGUAACGGCUCACCUAGGCGACGAUCCCUAGCUGGUCUGAGAGGAUGACCAGCCACACUGGAACUGAGACACGGUCCAGACUCCUACGGGAGGCAGCAGUGGGGAAUAUUGCACAAUGGGCGCAAGCCUGAUGCAGCAAUGCCGCGUGUAUGAAGAAGGCCUUCGGGUUGUAAAGUACUUUCAGCGGGGAGGAAGGGAGUAAAGUUAAUACCUUUGCUCAUUGACGUUACCCGCAGAAGAAGCACCGGCUAACUCCGUG
rnacentral:rRNA from 1 species